rnacentral:rRNA from 1 species
CAGCAGUAGGGAAUCUUCGGCAAUGGACGAAAGUCUUGACCGAGCAACGUCCGCGUGAGUGAAGAAGGUUUUCGGAUCGUAAAACUCUGUUGGUAGAGUAAGAACGUUGGUGAGAGUGGAAAUCUCAUCAAGUGACGGUAACUACCCAGAAAGGGACGGCUAACUACGUGCCAGCAGCCGCGGUAAUACGUAGGUCCCGAGCGUUGUCCGGAUUUUAUUGGGCGUAAAGCGAGCGCAGGUGGUUUAUUAAGUCUGGUGUAAAAGGCAGUGGCUCAACCAUUGUAUGCAUUGGAAACUGGUAGACUUGAGUGCAGGAGAGGAGAGUGGAAUUCCGUGUGUAGCGGUGAAAUGCGUAGAUAUAUGGAGGAACACCGGUGGCGAAAGCGGCUCUCUGGCCUGUAACUGACACUGAGGGCUCCGAAAGCGUGGGGAGCAAACAGGAUUAGAUACCCUCGGUAG